AGUGAAGCUGGGCUGGUUAGGGCUGGGGGUUUUAGUGUCAUUGUGAUUCAUUUGCAGUUUUAUUCUUCUGAAAGCAAGGGUCACCUUCGUGUCCGAGGCUGCUCUGGUCUUUCCACCAGUCAGCUGUUUUUGUUACCAUUCCUAGUGGCUUCAGUGGAUUCUAAAUGAGUAUUUCAAAGGGAGAUUAAAGAGCCUUUUCCUCAGUGGAGAGGCUUCACUGCAGCUCUGACUUUGACUUGCUGUCAGUAUGUGAUCCUUGGCUGGCUUCUGCUCGACAUGGAUGGCCUUCCUUCGACAGCAGUUCAAAGGCACAGUGCUAGGAUGGGCUAUGAUUUGAGGUGGUCUGAAGACAUGCUGGGAAAACUGCUUUUGUCCCUACCAAAGGUGAAUUUUAUACUUGCCUUUUUUUUUUUUUUAAUUUUAUUUUUUGUGUACUGCACUUUUUGGUAGUUUCUGCAGUAGGAGGACCAAUCUGAAGUGUGUGCACAGGAGGAGACUUUCACUGGCAUAAUUUGUUGGUUUUGCUGUGAUGUCACUUGCCUGCUUAGUUUUCAGCUUUCUGUCUUCAGCUGUGUCUCUGAAAUCGAUUAAUUAGCUUUGGAUUUAUGAUGAUAGUGCUUGUGGAGAACGAGACGCGAGACUGGCUUUCUUUCCUGACAAAACAAGUCAGGUAGAACAGCAGUCUAGUUUUGGAAAAAACAAUGUUCAAGGUAGGUGGAGCAACCUGUCAGAACAGGAAUUUUUAUAUGUUUUUUUCCAAAUAACCAUGUUAAUACUUGUGAGUAAAACCUACAUUGAAUAUUGUUGAGUAACUUCUAGAAAACCAUAGGUUUCUGCUGAUUGACAAAUGUUUCUUAUAUUAAGAUUUUUUGGAAGCCCUAAUCCUUUCAGUUAAAGUUCACAGAGAUGCAGUAGUGUGAGGUUUAUCUGUUUCAAAGUUUGACCACCAGAGCUUUAAACUUGUUUAAAUAUAUACUUUAAAAAUCAAUCUCAAUGGACCAUGCUUACCUGGAUUUAAUUCUGCCCUGCACUCACGACGUUUCACUUGCUCAGCGGUCACUGCGAGUUAGUCUGAAACAGACUUGAAUCCAGGUAAGAAUGUCCCUUUCAGGUUGGUACAACUUUAACUGAAUCAGUUUAAAGCCAGCUUUUACAGAAAGCGGGAGAAGUUUGAAUUCUUGAAAGACUUCAGCCACUUCACUUCAGAUUUAAGGAGCUGCAGAGUCUGGGUGUGCCGAAUGGAGGCACCAAGCAGAAUGCAAGGCUUCCUUUCAGGAAGAGAGUUUUCAGUAUUCAGGGACUUGAGUGAAAUGUGACCUUUGUUAAAUCAGGGGGAGAACCCCAGUGACUGUUGUAGGUCAGUGAUGUGUUUGCAGCAGUGAGUCCUGGAAAGGAUGGGGACACUGCGUUUUUUAAAAGAGGAGUGAACUUGUUUUAUUUUCUUACCUGAAUAAAUGAAUGGCUAUUAAUACUACAAGCACCUUUAAGGGACUUUACAUGGAUAUUCUGUUAGCACUUAGUGGCCUCAAAUCUGAAGCAUAGUUCUGAAAUGCAUCUACUUCUACCCAAACUACUUGGACUUGUUCGGCUGAAUCUCCUCAACCGAGCUCAGGUGUGGACAAAUCCAUGCCUUUUGGAGAAGUUUACUUUAAUUCACGGGGAAAGCAAUGGGGUAAGAAAUGACAGUGUGUUCUAUUGUGCACUGGGAAUAUAAACUGGCUGUGAAAUCGAUUAUUUGCUGGCCUGAAACAGCCUGAGAUCUAGGCCAAGUUACCCAAGUUUGGGCAGAAGCAUCUAAUUUCAGGAAAGCUUCUAAAAAAGCACAGUUUGUUUAAAACAACAGAUUUUUAAAUGUAUUUAUAUAGCUAAAAUGACUUUAUUGUGGUAUAUUUUAGGUAGGUUUUUGUUUUAAUUUUUGUAAUAGCCUUGCAGAACAAAUUUUAAACCUUCCACACUGAAAAAACCUGACAGAAAUCCUGUCAAUCUAAUCUUUGUCUGCCAGGUAGGAUUUGAAUGGUGCUAAAAGUCAACAUGAUAAUUUUACAGCAGCAAUUCAACGUAACAUUUUCAUUGCCAGUUGAGGGAAUGUUGUAUGCCCGAACCUGUGGGGAUUGUUGCAGUUGGUUACAGAUCUGUAUAAAUGUUGGGGUGUGCCAUGACACCUUUUUCAAGAGCAGACAUCCCUUUACGUCCAGCCUGCUUGCUCCCUCAAGAUUUUGUCUUGCUCCUCGUGUUGCAAGGAUUCAGAAUUUUGCUUCCACUUUCUCAUAACCUGAAUCCCUCUGGCUUUGAAGGCUGACCCAGGUCCUGCUUAACACAGAGUGAAUGUGCUGGGCUGGCAGGAGCAGUGGGGAGGUUUGGAUCAGUCAGCUGCCGGGAGCAAACGCCAGGAGAUCUUUGCUUGGCACAGGGAUCUCCGACCCCCGGGUCACGCAUUAUACCAGAAACAGAACUGAUCUAAUGAAGGGGUUCUCGAUCUGACCUGAGCCUUUUACACUUGGUGAAGCCAGACUGUGCUACAGGAGUUUUACUGAGGGUUUCAGUCAUAAGUCCCUGUAAUUCACUGGCAGGUUUUUAGCAUUAUUUUUUUUAAAUGUACGAACAGAUUUAUAUUCAAGCAACAUACAUACACACACAUAUAUAUAUACUUAGUAAAGUAUAUGUGUCCAGUGUUGUUAAAUUGAAGCCCUGUGGUAACCAGCUGUCUCUGCAUAGGAACAAAGUCUUAUCAUGGCAACUGCUAGGAUGCUGUAAGUGUCUGAGUAUUUAAGAUAGACUUACACAUACCUAUUCAUAAACUCAAGAGAUGGUUGCAGGCUUUUGUUUGUUUCCACGUUGUAUUAGCCAAAUAUUGUGAGUGGCACAUGCCAGUUGCAUAUCUUUAAUAUAGCAGGUCAAAAGCUUAAACAGCUAAUCUGUGUCCAUUCAGUAAUAUUUCUAGUUGUAAUUACUGUUAUUCAUUUGAGGUUCCAUUUGCUGAACAUACAGACAGCUUUGAAAAAGCAAAAAGACCACGUGUGAGACACUGGGGAGGUCAGGAAAUUCUAUUCUGAAGUAUUUAUGCGUUUUAUUUAUUUAUUUAUCAUACACGAAGAGCUGAGCCCCUGGUUCAGGAAAACAUUUCUUCAUGCUGGCAGAAGAUUUAGGAACCUAAUUUCAGGCCCUUCCUAAAGCUAAAGCCAGAUUUCCAUGGAUCAGGGACCAAGCAGACUAAGCCAUUAAAAGCAUCAUUCCAUCCUUUUGAGUGUCCACGAAAAGUGGUAAGACCUUCUCAAAUGCUUCUUAUAACUUAUAUUAAUAGACAAGCUGAGGAAUCCCGAGAGACCCAAAGAUGCUUCUGCAGUGCUCACCUCUUGAUCUCUGAGAGUAGAAAUACAUAAAUAACAAAUACUCCUUGCACUCUCAGUGUUUGUAAUAUCACUGCCACGAGGUACCAUUUGCAGUAAUCAAAAUUCGCAUUUCAUGUGAUACCCACAAGUAGGUUUUUAUACUUUUAUUUUUCAGGAUUUUUUUAUUUUCUUGGUUAUCUGCUUUCAGUAAGCAAGUAAUUUUCCUUUGCCUGGUUUUCCACGGCUCUUUUUAACAGCACGUGAUUGGCUCUGGUUAAAUGUGAAGAUCUCCCUAAAACAGAUGCCAGCAAAUGCUUGGGUGAAGCUCUGUUGUCCCAGCUUUUUGACAAGGUUGUUACCAUUUACAGCAGGCAAGGACCUUCUGCCUCCAGAUCCUGCAGGUGAAACAGUCCCAGCACUUGCAAACACACUUCCCCUUUUGCACUGCCUUGGUUUGGGUCAGGAGGUCUCCAGUGCAGAACAACAAUCACAUCAUUGCUGUCAGUGUGGGUUACAGUAGGGCCUGUUAGUGGGAAAUACAACAGCAACGAUGGAGGGCUUUUGAAAUGUAUCAGAAGGGACUGGAAGCCUGUGUUUUGCCAGCUUCUAAAGACUUAGAGAAUUGUCAGAUUAGGAAGGAAAAUAAAAGGAAGAUAAAGGCUGAUUGCAAACAGUUCAGCCUCAGUCUUUCAUGAAGGUUUGUGUAAUGUUCAAACUUUGCAUAAAGCAGGCUCCCAUGUUCUGUCAGGCACAGAGCUCAGCCAAGGUGUUCCUCCCUGGUGCUCAGGAACAGCCUUUUUCUCUCAGCAAUUCUCACUGCUGAGCAGAACAUCCAUUUCUGUGUCACAGGAUUGUCUGGUGAGAUUGCUUAGGUGAGGUGAGCAAGCGCAGAGCUAGAACCACAACAAAGAAGCCAAAGCAAGAUGUUUGUGGAAUAACUUUGUUCUGAAGGAUUUUUUUUUGUUUAAAUGGGUGCCAGAAGCAAAGGACACAAAGCAUGAUUCUGUAAUUAUUCAGCACCCACGGAAAGCAAGUGCAAAUGAGAGUGGUGUGGCAUCACAAAAAGCUGGCUGUUGUGUAAUUAGGAUACUGGCAAGUUUUGCAAGGCUUGCAUUUACAUGGAGAUUUGCUUGGAUAGUACUUGAUCCUUACAGCUCUAGGUCUUUCAUCAGGAAAGGUGACAAGUACUUUGUCCCUUUGUUAGGGAGAGAGAAAAAGAGAUGUCAAACCAAUGUUUUCAACUCCUAUGGGAGCUGCAAACAGUACAGUAGAGCAGUCUUGUGUCUGAGGUGAGCUGGUGUGCAGUGAACUUUGCAGUGCAUUGAAGAUUUAGGGACAAAUUUUACUUUGUGUCUCCUUGAGGAACAGUGUGAUUGACUUCACUGUCUGCCCUUGUAGAGCUGAGAAUCCUCACUAGGUCCUUAAUGCAGCAGUAUGUGUGAGAGAUGACUAAAGGAAGGGUAGGUUACCUUCAUCCUCACAUCAAUUGUUUGUUUUCAAAACUGAAAGCAAACUAGGGAGAUGUUUGUAUGUUUUGGGGGAUUUCGGUUUUGUUUGAUUUUUUUGCUGGGCAAUCUGAAAUCUCUGGACAAGGUCUGGGGGUGGUUUGGGUGUUCCUCUUACUGGUGCAUCCAUCAGAGCUUCAGCCAGUGGGACAUGCAGGAGGACAGGUCCAUGGUUCCCCUGGCCCCAGACACAGGUGCGUGUCAAGCAAACCCUGCAGAGGAAAGGUCACUUCUGCUGAGGACCCCAGCACAAGCCUGGUGAUGGGAAUUGAGGCACAGGUAAAUCAGGAUCCCACUAGAACAAAAAGGUGAGCAGGCAGAGCCGUUAGUCCUCAAGUAUGUUGCACAAGUUGCGUGGUCCCCCACCCUCCGGUGCCACCCCCUCCUCCCUGGCUCAUCCAGCAGCUUUUUGGGCCAGGCUUUCCUUAGGUCAGCGCUUCCCAUAGCUCCCAUUGUGCACUGCAAGGUGUGUCUGUGUUCUCAGAGCUGUUAGGCCGCUGCUCACUGCAGAGGGCAGUGGGUGCUGUUGGGUGCAGGCUCUCCGGAGAAGCUUCUCUUGGUUCUUGUUUGCUGGGAGGGUUUGGCCUGUGGUGCCCCUGUGCUGGGCUGGCUUUGCAGGGAUGUCCCUGUAGGAGUGAGUCGGCUGCUGUGGGGACAGGUGGUUUCUUUGCACAGAGGGGCCACUUCCAGGCACUUGAGCCUUUUCCAGAGCCAAGCCCCAGCUGCUGUGUGUAGGUGGGGCUGUCUCUGUGCUGCUGAGCCCAGUCAGAGCCAGCCCAGCUCUGUGGUCAGCCUGGCGUCACUGAGGCACACGGGGAGAGCCCAGUGCCAGCUCUGUGUGUCUGGGGGUUCAGUCACCUCAUGGCCCAGCAGUCAGCUGUUCAGGAUCUGAUAAUUUGAUGGAGCUGUAAUGGAAAAGUUGGUUUGACAUUGUUACUGGAGUCUUAGGCCGUUGAAUGCAAUAGCUGCUGUGGCUGGUUCUGAAGCAGACUGCUGAGACCAUGCCAGUCUCUGAAUCGUGGGCAGGAUGAGUUCUCUGCUUUGUGGUGCUGUCUGGCAUCCGAGCUGCAGGAAGCACAGCAAUAAAAGUGAGUGAGAGGAGCACCUUUUGUUUGACUGGGGAUCAAAUGACACUGUCUGGGUUCCUUCUCUGGGGGAAAUUCUGUGAUGCUUCUAACCACAAGGACGAAAACGUAGGUGGAACUGAGUGCAAAUGCACAUAUAAUGUGUGUUCAUUUACAGCCAGCCAGAAAACAAAAUAAGCAGUGGUUUCUAGUAAUAUGGUUCUACUCAAAAUAGCUUUUUAUUAAGUCAGCUUGAAAGUGUUAAAACGGUGGAGCCAUAGACAAAAUAUUUGUUACCUUUUGAAAUGAGUUACAAUGGUUUUGUCAUACUUGUACAGGUAUUAUAAGGUCAGUCUUUCUGUAUGUUUUAUAACUUAUUGUAGAAUAGUCUUCUAUGCAUAGCUGUUCCACUUGCCUGUGUAAGUUACAAAUCUAACAGAAAUGAAAGCAUGCAUUUUUCUCUGUUUGCUGGUAACCUAUGAAAUUAGAAACUUGUAUUUCUGUGUUUUUAAUGUGUUAUACUAUAAAGAAAAUUCACAGCACUAUUGUCUAUGGAAUAUCAAAAAGUUUUAUUAGAAUGAAUUACUUUAAAUGUUUUGUCAAUUGAUUUAAUAAUGUGUCAGACAUCUACACUAAGACAAUAUAAUGUUUAUCAAUAAAAAUAUCCUCUCUUUGUACUAACUUGAUACUUCAGGGUGUGCUUGGACAUAGGAGUAGAGCACCCCAUGGGUCUCAGUCCCAAUGAUUUAUUCAUUUUUUGCAUAAUUGUGAGAAUACUCUGUACCCCUUAUUUGAUCUCAUCUUUGGAUUAGGGAGUGAAGGAAGAAGAAAAGCGAGUUUUUCUGCUUUGUAUUUCCUGUGCCCCUGGGGGUGUGUGUGCUGUGAGGUGUGUGCAGCACAGCAGUUCCCCAAGGAGUUGGCCGGCUCGUGGGACGUGUUCGUGUUGGAGGCCGUGCAGAAACAAACACUGUGGGAAUUUUAUUUGCUGUUGUAGGAGUCAAAUUCUGCUCUGUUACAAUACAAAUCUGCAAUUACUGCACUGAUGUUACUGUCUUCCAGCGUAGGUAAGUGGGAGUUGAUUGUCACUCUCCCAGCUGGCGGAUUCUGUGCCUGUCACCGCUCAGCCGUUGAGAGCCAGGGUGAUGAGAGCCAGUCCUCCCUCUGAAGCUGUUCCUGGAGUAAUAUUUUGAGUAAUGCUUGGAAUAACAAAGAGGGAGAGGUGCUAUUAUAACAGUUCUGAUGUGGCCAGUUUCCAAUAGGUGCUGCAGAGCACUUGUGGACAGGGAUGUUUAGAAGCCCAUGCUUUGAGAGAGGGAAAUACUUGUGCUGCUUUUCUACUCUGCACCAGCUGAGAAGAAGCUGCAAAUUACCCCCUAACUCAGCCUCUCUUGGUGACUUCCUUCUACCUCAUCCCAUGAGACGGUUGGGACACUUCAGCUGACCCCCCUUCCCAUUAUACUUUCCCUGACAGAAGAUUCUGAGAUCCUUGAAUGAAAAGGCAUGUAAUUGGGUCUGGCUACCUCACCUAAACCACUUUUGCUUGUGUCUUUGUAACAGCUGCUGACAAAAUGAUCUGUUUCUUCUGAAGUGCCCACCACGUCCACGAGAAGCAGUGGUGUAUCUUAGGCAGGGUGUUUACUUACACAUGCACAGCUAUUUCCAGGUGCAGAGGAGUCCUGCAGUGCAGAAAAAGCACACAUGCUGAUCUUGCACCUCUGUCCAGGAGGGCAGAGAUGAGGUGCAGCCUUUGAUGUUAAUGCAGAAAAUGUCUUUCAUCAGUGCAAGCCCAGCAGUUGUCUUGAAAAUAUUUUCCAUUGGUAUGAUUGUUUGCUUUCCAACUCUGCGUGCUGGCAACCCAAAACAUAUGUUGGAAUCCAUACAGAUGCUGUGUCUCUGUAGAUAAUUCCCCAUGACUCGUUUUCUGGUUCAAGGAUAAUCUUGCUUCUUGUCACAAUUUGGAGCAGUUCCAGUUGGUUGUUGGAAUCUGAAGAUACUCUCACUCCUUACCCCCUGGCACGGUGAUAUGCCAAAUAUGCAUCCUUUUUGAGUCUGCCUUGUGAUUACUUCACAUUAGAAAAAUUUGGUGUAACUUGCAGCUUGGAAAGUUAGAGAUUGGUUUUCAGAGAUCAGGGAGUAAUUGAAUUUCUGACCACUUUCAUUAAACUUAGGGAAAUCUGAGUGUGAAGGCAAGCCAUCAUUGCUUUCACUGGUGGAGGUUGGAUGAGUACAUAUUCAUCUUCAUGUAUUCACUUUUGCUAUGUUGUCUUUGCAGUUACUCUUCAGCCAUCACAAACCCUGCCUAAGCAAAGAUGUGGAUUCUUAGUGCAGAACAAAAAAAAAAUGAAGCACAAGUACAAAGUGGUGAAAAGAAAACUAACUGUUCUCUCCCACCUGGCCAUCUUUAUCCAUCAUAAAGAUACAAAACUAGAGCACAAAUCCUAUUUAUUAUUCCCUUUGGGGGUCACUUCUGGCUUGCUUUACAGAGGCCAGACUUGUGUCUUUGCUACCCCAAAAGCUAUUUGCUUUGAAAUAAGAGACCUGUUUUCUGUAAGUUGUAGAUAAUAAUCUCCCUCCUGGCUCUGCCCAAUUGACUUGGACCUGUUUAUUCCAACAGAAGGAGUGUGUGAUUGCAGGGCAGGACGAGGGGCUGCCUGGUGUCCUGAAGCAGUGGGGUUGUGCAUCUCAGGAAGGCUGAGGCAUUUCCAUCCAGCUCUGUCACAGCCCUCAGGGUUUGGCUGCAGGCAUCUCCCAGCUCCAGGUGAGACUUCCCACCUGAGGUUUCUCCCAUCCUUGCAUGAACAUGUUAGGACGUGGAAUCCUGGACAUGUCAGCUGCUCCCUGGAAAACAGCUGAUGAAUGGUUAGAGCUGUUAGUGCCAAAAUAAAAUUAUUUGGCUGCCUAAAGUGGGGCAGCCUUCAAGUUGCUGCUGGGCUGCACAGCUCCUGAGAUUGCUGCUCCCAGUCCUUGGCACUGGGAGGUGGAUGCACACAGGUACUCCCAGCACGUGAUGCUUUCCCAAAAGCUGAAGCAGAGGCAGCCUGGGGCUGUGCCUUGGAAGGGCAGAACGGAGACCCAGGGGCAGGAACUGCAGGUACGUGGAUUUUGUGCAUUUUUCCUCCCUGCUGCAGUGGGGAUCGGCCCUCUUGGCACAGUUGAGUGUCUUCCCGCUUCCUGUCCGGCAGCUUUGAGCAGGCUGAGCAUUCAGGGAGGAGGAGGAGGAGGAGGCUGAUCCUCAGCCCCCGAGUGUCGGGAACAAGCGGUGCUCUGUGCCUGGCGUGAGGCUUUGCAGUGCCAACCAAAUCACUGGAGAAGAGUAGCACAGAAUGAACAAAAACAAUUGAAUGCCACAGCCUGGAGAUAGCAGGUGCAGUGAAACCACUUCAAACUGCUCAUACAAGAAGAUUUUACAAGUAAGCCUUUAAAGAAUAAUGGGGAAAAAAUAAGUAGCAUAAUUAAUAUAUCAACUGCAGUGGAAAUGUCUUAAAACAAUUAGUAUUUUAAAAAGAGAGCUCUGCUUUGUAUGUGAACUUAAAUCAACACUUGUCCUGCCUAAAAUUCUUCUGUGCUGACUGCAGGGAGGGCUUGGAUAGAAGUGUAUUUUCUAAUGUUGCAGAGCAAUGCCAUCUAGGGCAUAGAGCUUUACAGUUACCAACAGGACUGCUAUCCAUCCUUAGUGACAGAGCUUCCUGGGCUGAAUAUUAAUAACUGGUUCAUCACCUCUGCAUUAGGCCUGUUGGGACGUGCUCAUUUUCCAUAUCUGCUUCCAGUUUUCUGAACUAUGCUCUUGUCAGUUUUUAAUGGAUAGUUUUGUCUCCACUGGAACAUAGUGAAUUUCUGUACGUACCUUAGUUCCUCCUGCAAUCCUCCUGUUAGCUUCGUCUGUGCAGCACAGCAGGCAUUAUCAACGGUCUCUCUAAUCUUCAGCUACUCGAAGAAUCCACCCUGGCUGUGAUUAGAGCCACGAUACAUUUAGGCAGUAGAUUAAAAUACUAAACCUAACAGGCCAGAUCUCGUCAUCCUUAUUCAAAAGCUACUUAGUGUGUUACUGAGGUUCUCCUGUUGAAACCAAGCUGCCUGUAGAACGCUGGUCUGCAUUAACUGAAAACACCUCAAGAACCUGGCCCAGCUGCAGCUCUGUCCUCACUCCUGGCUGACACAGCUCUCUCCGGGCUGAAGGUGAGGUGCCAAAUACAAGGUAAGAACCUGCUGGCUUUGGUGGGCGUCUGUGGCAGUAACGAACCCGGACUCACACGUGAUACAUUUUACCCAGUAUCUUGUCCUCCUCCUUCAUCCCGUUUGACCUCAUCAUGCUUGGCCUUUCUAAGGAAUGGCAGCAAUAUUUAGUGGCACUUUAGACUCUGCCCCCCCUGGAGAACAGCAAGUGCUUUAACUCUCAAAUCAGUCUCAGGACAUUCUUUAAACUCCCAAGGCUGCACCAGCUUCUGGACCAGCCAGCUUCUGCCCUCUUCUGUGAGAGUUACACUUGGAGCUGGUGAUCCUCAAGUUACUGGCCUUGUGUGAGUUUGUUGUUUUUACAACCAGCUUCAAACUGAAGGCAAAAAAUACUUGACUAUAACUUGAAAACACACGGGGAAAUGUUAAUCCUUCACUAAUAAAGACAAGAGCUUUUAACAAAGCUACAAGCAUUCUUUCCCCUCCCCUUGACUAAUGGCAUUCUUGUUGCUAUCUGAGCAAAGAGGGGGCCUGGUUCUCCUCCAGGUUCAUAGUCUGGUGUGGCUGCCAAGAGGUUAGAACGGUAGUGCUUAUGGGCAUAAAAAUGCACGCACACUCCUGCAUAGCGAGGCACUGCAAGUCUGGGGAAACAAGAGUUGGAUGUUAACAGUGUUAAUUAAGAAGCAGAAAGUACAUUGGUAACUAAAUUUUUACAGUGUCUACUUAAACAGUGCACUGUUUAAACACAAUGCUGAAGUGACAAAUAAUUGGUUCAUCAGAGUUCUCCCUGGUGAUUUGUUGUCCCAUAAAUUGGUAUGGUAUAUGUCACUUUUCAUUGUAACUGGAGAUUUGAAGCACAGAUUACUUUAUUUAGCAAACAGUUUUACAGCCAGGCUACUAACACUGUCUUUUUAUUUCUUUGAUAGCGUAAAGAUGAAAGGAGGACUCACAAUCAUCACUUUCCUGCAAGUUAAGACAGUUGUGCAAGAAGGACUGGGAAUGCCAGCCUGUGUUUUUUGGAAGGUGAUGGGAGCAUGCUCUCAUGUGCCAGGACCCCAUCCACCACAGUGAAGGCAGGGGCUGGUUUAUUGGGUACUUGAUACUUCCGAGUGCUUUAAAACUGAUGUCCAGACUUGGAACAACUCAAGUUGCUGUGCUUCAGUGCUGGGUCUGAGAUGGCAUCAGUGAUGCUGAACGCGGGUGGGCUCAGGAAGCAGUUACCCAAACACAGGCCCUACCCCCAUUCUCUCCUACCCACAGAGUGUCACAUAAAAAAGAUAUGGGUUCAGUUUUGGGAUCAGAACAUGGCUCUGAUCCUUCCCAAGUUCCUGAGGAUUACUCACAGCUAGUGUCUGGCAGUCAUUGUCUCCCUGGUCCGAGGUCUCAUCACUACUCUCACGUUGCUUUGGCUCAGGCUGUAGAGAAUGGAAUAGCUUUUGGCAGAUACAGAGCUGGAAUGAGCUCUCAUUGGCAGCUGGAGGCUUGUUCUUACGCCUCCCCUUCUUGCUCCCAGAUCUACUGAGGCUGCUGGUGAGGAGGUGGAUCAGAUGCUGUGGCCCUCACAUCUUACACAGUGCUCAGAGAGGGCAGGACGUGUGUGGUGUCUUUGCAUUACUUGGCCUGCACUCUGCAAGGGCUUUCUGAGAAACUUGGGGUUCUGGUCUACACACUCUCUGGGAGCUGAGAUGUCAAAGUGCUCACACAUCCCUGUAUGGAGACAUAUUUUAUUUAGUAAUUGCUUUCAAAAAAAUACUUGAAAAUUAAAGAAAGGGAAGGUGAAAAGUAAGCGCUGCUGAGCUGGAAAUGCAGCAUUUCCACUUAGUCAUUUCCUGGCCGUCAGGAAGACUAGGUGCUGUCAGAUCUCUCAUCAGAGCCCCACCACAGAGUACUGAUGUGAGGGAGUGUUGAAAAGCUGCUGGCCAGACCUACUUUCAUGGGCCAAAGUGAGGGAAAGGAAGAGGUGGAACAAGGCAGGAUUCUGCCUCACUGUCCACGGCAGGUCAUGCCAGAGCACAGAACAACUCAGGAUCCCAAUACCAGCCUUGCUACCAAAAACUAGUCUUGCAGAAAAACUAGUUGGUUCAGCUCUGUGGGGUUUUGUUCACUUGCUGGUUAGUGGGUUGGUUUAGUGGUUUUUUUUCUUUCCGUGUGUGUAAUUAUGUCUCCUCUGCUCACUGUAUGAAAAGGUAAUUAGGAAAACUAACCUAAAUAUCUUAAUCUCUUCUGCUCUUAAGCAGUUUUUGUUGUGCCUUCUUUCAUGCAGUUUGAUUCCCAUCUCUCUCCUCCCUUGCUAUAAAACACAGCUGAGUGCAAAUCAGAACGAGAAAUGCAGCCUGACGGCCGAAGUGUAAUGUGCAUAAUACUGCCAAGGGUAAGAAUUUGAAUGUACUGAAGUAAUUGCUGUCACAUGCUAUAAGCUGAAACACACAUCAUGUUUUCAGGUGAGAAGAGAUCACUCUGAAACCACCAGAGGCUGGGGGUGGAUGCACCUCCAUGGCUGGGAGAUGGCACAGGUGUCCCUGUAGUGCAGCAGCAGUGCGUUCAGCUUGCAGGAGAGAGAGCCCCGCAACUCAUCUGUCUUUCCUGUAAAAAGGUGGAGCAAGUUUCAGAGACCCUGGAGACAGCUUGCAGAACUCACUGCUGCUGUCACAACUGGCAAGCAGGAUUGCUUUGGCUGCCUCCAGCUCAUGCCAGGAAAGUUUCCCACCUUUGUGUCAAAAGGCAGCUAUAGGUUGCAUGAAAGCUGCAGCAACAGAAGCUGCUCAGCUGCUCAAGAUUAAUGGCAACUUUCAUGGAGGCUGUGGAUUAAUAUAAGUAUCACCCUCUUGGAAAAAAGACAGCAUUCCUUCAUCCUGCUUCCUCAACCCUAGCUCCUUGGCCCAAGUCGGUGACCCGAGCCCGUGGG